rnacentral:rRNA from 1 species
UACGUAGGGUGCGAGCGUUGUCCGGAAUUAUUGGGCGUAAAGAGCUUGUAGGCGGUUUGUCGCGUCUGCCGUGAAAAUUCGAGGCUCAACCUCGAACUUGCGGUGGGUACGGGCAGACUAGAGUGCGGUAGGGGAGACUGGAAUUCCUGGUGUAGCGGUGAAAUGCGCAGAUAUCAGGAGGAACACCGGUGGCGAAGGCGGGUCUCUGGGCCGAUAUUGACGCUGAGGAGCGAAAGCGUGGGGAGCGAACAGG